rnacentral:rRNA from 1 species
ACGGGAGGCAGCAGUAGGGAAUUUUCGGCAAUGGGGGAAACCCUGACCGAGCAACGCCGCGUGAACGAAGAAGUAUUUCGGUAUGUAAAGUUCUUUUUUAGGGGACGAACGUUCAUAUCAGGAAAUGGGUAUGAAGUGACGGUACUUUAAGAAUAAGCCCCGGCUAACUAUGUGCCAGCAGCCGCGGUAAUACAUAGGGGGCAAGCGUUAUCCGGAAUUAUUGGGCGUAAAGGGUGCGUAGGCGGCUACUUAAGUCUGAGGUUAAAGUGCGGGGCUUAACCCCGUGAUGCCUUGGAAACUGGGCAGCUAGAGUAUGGUAGAGGUAAGUGGAACUCCAUGUGUAGCGGUAAAAUGUGUAAAUAUAUGGAAGAACACCAGUGGCGAAGGCGGCUUACUGGGCCAAAACUGACGCUGAGGCACGAAAGCGUGGGGAGCAAACAGGAUUAGAUACCCUGGUA